UGGGGAAUUUUGGACAAUGGGCGCAAGCCUGAUCCAGCCAUGCCGCGUGCGGGAAGAAGGCCUUCGGGUUGUAAACCGCUUUUGUCAGGGAAGAAAUCUUCUGAGUUAAUACCUCGGGAGGAUGACGGUACCUGAAGAAUAAGCACCGGCUAACUACGUGCCAGCAGCCGCGGUAAUACGUAGGGUGCAAGCGUUAAUCGGAAUUACUGGGCGUAAAGCGUGCGCAGGCGGUUUUGUAAGACAGAGGUGAAAUCCCCGGGCUCAACCUGGGAACUGCCUUUGUGACUGCAAGGCUUGAGUGCGGCAGAGGGGGAUGGAAUUCCGCGUGUAGCAGUGAAAUGCGUAGAUAUGCGGAGGAACACCGAUGGCGAAGGCAAUCCCCUGGGCCUGCACUGACGCUCAUGCACGAAAGCGUGGGGAGCAAACAGGAUUAGAUACCCUGGUAGUCCACGCCCUAAAACGAUGUCAACUGGUUGUUGGGAAGGUUCCUUCUCAGUAACGUAGCUAACGCGUGAAGUUGACCGCCUGGGAAGUACGGCCGCAAGGUUGAAACUCAAAUGAAUUGACGGGGUCAUAGCUGUUUCCUG
rnacentral:rRNA from 1 species